rnacentral:pre_miRNA from 1 species
AGUAGAACAGCUGGAUCACAUGCACCUCCAUUUUUAAGAGGAACCACCAUGCUCUUUUCUAAUAUGGCUGUAUUAAUUUACAUUCCCACCAACAGU